rnacentral:rRNA from 1 species
GACGAACGCUGGCGGCGUGCUUAACACAUGCAAGUCGAACGGAAAGGCCCUGCUUUUGUGGGGUGCUCGAGUGGAGAACGGGUGAGUAACACGUGAGUAACCUGCCCUUGACUUUGGGAUAACUUCAGGAAACUGGGGCUAAUCCCGGAUAGGAGCUCCUGCUGCAUGGUGGGGGUUGGAAAGUUUCGGCGGUUGGGGAUGGACUCGCGGCCUAUCAGCUUGUUGGUGGGGUAGUGGCCUACCAAGGCUUCGACGGGUAGCCGGCCUGAGAGGGUGACCGGCCACAUUGGGACUGAGAUACGGCCCAGACUCCUACGGGAGGCAGCAGUGGGGAAUAUUGCACAAUGGGCGGAAGCCUGAUGCAGCAACGCCGCGUGGGGGAUGACGGCCUUCGGGUUGUAAACCUCUUUCGCCUGUGACGAAGCGUGAGUGACGGUAACUGGAAAAGAAGCACCGGCUAACUACGUG